rnacentral:tRNA from 1 species
GAGGGUAUAGCUCAAAUGGUAGAGCUCAUGCUCAGCAUGCAUGAGGUCCUGGGUUCAAUCCUCAGCACCACCU